GAUGAACGCUGGCGGCGUGCCUAAUACAUGCAAGUCGAGCGAACGGACGAGAAGCUUGCUUCUCUGAUGUUAGCGGCGGACGGGUGAGUAACGCGUGGAUAACCUACCUAUAAGACUGGGAUAACUUCGGGAAACCGGAGCUAAUACCGGAUAAUAUUUUGAACCGCAUGGUUCAAAAGUGAAAGACGGUCUUGCUGUCACUUAUAGAUGGAUCCGCGCUGCAUUAGCUAGUUGGUAAGGUAACGGCUUACCAAGGCAACGAUGCAUAGACGACCUGAGAGGGUGAUCGGCCACACUGGAACUGAGACACGGUCCAGACUCCUACGGGAGGCAGCAGUAGGGAAUCUUCCGCAAUGGGCGAAAGCCUGACGGAGCAACGCCGCGUGAGUGAUGAAGGUCUUCGGAUCGUAAAACUCUGUUAUUAGGGAAGAACAUAUGUGUAAGUAACUGUGCACAUCUUGACGGUACCUAAUCAGAAAGCCACGGCUAACUACGUG
rnacentral:rRNA from 1 species